GAUGAACGCUGGCGGCGUGCCUAAUACAUGCAAGUCGAGCGAAUGGAUUAAGAGCUUGCUCUUAUGAAGUUAGCGGCGGACGGGUGAGUAACACGUGGGUAACCUGCCCAUAAGACUGGGAUAACUCCGGGAAACCGGGGCUAAUACCGGAUAAUAUUUUGAACUGCAUGGUUCAAAAUUGAAAGGCGUCUUCGGCUGUCACUUAUGGAUGGACCCGCGUCGCAUUAGCUAGUUGGUGAGGUAACGGCUCACCAAGGCAACGAUGCGUAGCCGACCUGAGAGGGUGAUCGGCCACACUGGGACUGAGACACGGCCCAGACUCCUACGGGAGGCAGCAGUAGGGAAUCUUCCGCAUUGGACGAAAGUCUGACGGAGCAACGCCGCGUGAGUGAUGAAGGCUUUCGGGUCGUAAAACUCUGUUGUUAGGGAAGAACAAGUGCUAGUUGAAUAAGCUGGCACCUUGACGGUACCUAACCAGAAAGCCACGGCUAACUACGUGCCAGCAGCCGCGGUAA
rnacentral:rRNA from 1 species